GAUGAACGCUAGCGGCAGGCUUAACACAUGCAAGUCGAGGGGCAGCAAGGGUAGCAAUACCUGUUGGCGACCGGCAAACGGGUGCGGAACACGUACACAAUCUACCUUUAUCUGGGGUAUAGCCCGAAGAAAUUCGGAUUAAUCCCCCAUAAGAUAUUAGAGUGGCAUCACUUCGAUAUUAAAACUCCGGUGGAUAAAGAUGAGUGUGCGUCCCAUUAGCUAGUUGGUAGGGUAACGGCCUACCAAGGCAACGAUGGGUAGCUGGUGUGAGCGCACGACCAGCCACACGGGCACUGAGACACGGGCCCGACUCCUACGGGAGGCAGCAGUGAGGAAUAUUGGUCAAUGGACGCAAGUCUGAACCAGCCAUGCCGCGUGAAGGAUGAAGGCCUUCUGGGUUGUAAACUUCUUUUAUUGGGGAAGAAAAUUACGGUUUCUACUGUAACCGACGGUACCCAAGGAAUAAGCACCGGCUAACUCCGUGCCAGCAGCCGCCGUAAUAC
rnacentral:rRNA from 1 species